GCCGAUGUGGCUCAGUGGUAGAGCAGCUGAUUCGUAAUCAGCAGGUCGCCGGUUCAAAUCCGGCCAUCGGCUCCA
rnacentral:tRNA from 2 species